UGCUCGUAGUCAUAAUAAGAAAAAAGUCUCACACACCAAUUCAUGGACGUCUAGCAGCUUUUACCAGAGAAAUUGGUUGGUCAAACAAUAUAAGAUAUUGAGUGAAAAUUAGAAAAUUGAAUCCAUCUGCAAGUGUACAUAACAACCAAUCAAAAUGUGUGGAGGAUUUUCGUGUUCGAAGAACGCUUUAAUUGCACUCAAUCUUCUGUACAUUAUGGUAGGGUUUCUAUUGAUUAGCGUCGGAGUGUACGGACGUGCAGCGUCGAUUGUGACUAAUCUACCAAUUGUCGGCGGUAUAUUGGCUUGCGGAAUUCUAUUGAUUUUGAUAUCAAUUCUUGGCUUAAUCGGAGCAUCCAAGCAUCAUCAAGUUUUGCUUUUCUUCUACAUGAUUAUUCUGUUCCUACUGUUCUUGAUCCAAUUUUCAAUAGCUACAUCAUGCUUGGCGGUUAGUUCGUCGCAGCAGCAACAGUUUGCCGAACAAGGAUGGAAUCGCGUUUCGAAUAAAGUCAGAAUGGAAGUACAAAAUACAUUUUACUGUUGCGGCUUCAACAGCACAUCGACAGACCAUCCGUCGUGUGAUGCCGUUCAAUCUCUCUGCUGUCCGACAAAUUCGCCGACGGAUUGUUCGUGUUCUCCCUGUUUGCAAAAAUUGGAAGAUGUCAUUGACUAUGCAUUCAAACUGUGCGGUAGAAUCGGACUAUUCUUCAGUUUCACUGAGUUUGUCGGUGUUUGGCUAACUGUACGCUAUCGCAAUCAAAAAGAUCCCCGGGGUCACCCGAGUGCAUUUCUAUAACAAUGAGCUGAAAUGAUGGCAAUGGAAACUAACCCAUUCCAGAAGUUUAUUAAUUUUGAAAAAUGAAUGUAAGAUAAAGGUAUUAGCCGUAUUUUUAGCAAGACGCUACCGCAAUCUUCAUGCCAUGGACCUACUACCUGCUAGAGCUAUUUUUCCAACCAAUUAUAUUUAUUAAGAGACAUAACUUUAUAUUUAAUCUGUGUAUAAUGUAACCUGCAGCUAAAUAGAUGUGGGCUCUAGAUAUGCCCAACAUUUUAGUGAUUAAUGUCGACUGUGUAUAGCCGUUUUUAAAUUUAAAUUUAUUUUUCGUCUUAUUUUUACUUAUAAUUAUGGAGAUUUGAAACAAGAAUGUGAUAUAAUUUAUUUUUAUUUUUUAUUCAAAUUGUAAGACAAAUUCGUAGAUUUAGUCGAUCGUCACGUAAUUAAUAUAAUACAAAUUGCUUUUAACAACUCCAGAAAAAUUUUGGCGGAAAAAU